rnacentral:lncRNA from 7 species
GAAGAAUUGCUAUGCGCAGGCGCAUGGGAUGCUACUAGAUACAGUGCUCAGGCGGGAGUAGGAAUAAGGAGUCGCACUUGUAGAAGAUAAGACGAGUAAAUGAGAUUCUGGGAUUGGGAUGAAGAAAGGGAGCAACGAUCGGAGCAUUUGCAUUUGUUUAAGAGAUUCUCCACUGGAGCCAAAGUGGGAAGGACCCUAUCAAGUGCUUCUAACUACGCACAUGGUAGUCAAGGUGAAAGGGUUGGUCCCGUGGAUACAUCAUACCUGUGUGAAGGAAGUGACUCAACUGCACUGGACCUGGGCAAAUCAAACUGAACAAGACUCCUGCAUUGCAGUCAACAACAGAUCCUUUCCAAACACACCUCGCUGGGAUUUUCAACGGAGCAUUCUUUUGUGGUGAGAAAAACAUAGGUGCCAGACUCCUUGUCGGCAAGACAACGAGGAAGAGUGUUUACUUCAUCCCAAGGGACCAGAUGGGGAUGCGACCAUCCAGAGGAGAAUACAAUGCGUGUGCCGGAGGGGAGGGACUUGAUUAAUGAAUACGUAGUGGGGUUCAACGUAAUGUAUGAACUUGACUUACAAAUAUGUAACAUUUCUGUGGACUGGUAUGCAAGUUAGGAGGAGCUAUCCCCCUUGCAUCCAGCUUUGCGCAGCGUUGAUUAAAACAUACCUGAUU